rnacentral:tRNA from 1 species
GCGAAAGUGGCGGAAUUGGCAGACGCACCAGACUUAGGAUCUGGCGGGUAAAACCGUGGGGGUUCAAGUCCCCCCUUUCGCACCA